AAAGUAGGAUUAGAUACCCUUUUAUUCUCAAUGUUAAUUGUUGCCAGGGAUAGUAGUAGUUAUGUUCUUUAAACCCAAAGAAUUUGGCGGUGUUUUAGUCCAUUUAGAGGAAUUUGCCCCGUAAUCGAUAAUCCCCGUUUUAUCUUUCUAGGUUUUGUUUAUCAGUAAGUAUACCGCCGUUAUAAGUUUAUUUUUUUAGAGAUUUAAUUUACUUUAAAAAUUAUUGUUUUUUAUUUCAGGCCAAGGUGCAGCUAAUAGCUUAGAAGGAGGUGAAUUACAAUAUUAUUAUAAUACAUGGAUUUUUUAUUGUAAUAUUUAAUUGAAGGUGGAUUUAAUAGUAAUUUUGAUUAUUAUGUCAUUUUGAUUUUGGCUCUAAAAUAAGUACACAUCG
rnacentral:rRNA from 1 species